AAACAUUGUAUUAGUUUAUUUAAUAUAUAAUCUGCUCAAUGAUUUAAAUAGCUGCAGUAUUUUGACUGUGCAAAGGUAGCAUAAUAAUUAGUCUUUUAAUUGAGGACUAGAAUGAAAGAUUUGAUGAGAAAUUAUUAUUUAUAAAAAUUUUAUUUUUAAGUAAAAAAGCUUAAAUAAUUUAAAGGGACGAUAAGACCCUAUAAAACUUUAUAAUGAGUAAAUUUAUUGGGGUGAUAAAAAAAUAACUUUUUUUUCAAAUUAAUGAUUAAUGAAUUAAAUAAUUAAAGGAAAAAGUUACUUUAGGGAUAACAGCGUAAUUAAUUAUUUAAGUCCAAAUUUAAUAAUUAGUUUGCGACCUCGAUGUUGAAUUGAUUAAUCUUAGGUGCAAAAUUUAAGUU
rnacentral:rRNA from 1 species